UAGUAGUAAAAGCUAAUGAUUUAUCAAAGGUCAGGCUGUCCUUAUCUAAAAGAAGGGCUUGGUAUUAAGUCAGAUGGGCAUUUGACAUCAACCAGUUAGUGGCAUCAGCAAAGUUUUCACGGCAUGUAAAGCAAAUACAGUUAGAGUCUGCCCAAAUGUGAGUUUUUCAGCUUCUUUUACAGGAAUUGCAAUGGCUAUAAUGGCUCUUAAAUAAGGGAGCCAUCCAGAGACUACAGGAUCCAGUCUCUUUGAGAUGUAAGCUGUGGUGGUCCAGGUAGGUCUGGCCCUGGUAGACUCAUGGGUUUGAAUGUGCUUAGCCAGUAGGGCCACUAUUAAGAAAUGUGGUCUUGUUGGAGUAUGUGUGGUUUAUUGGAGGAAAUGUGUUACUGUGGGGUUGGGUUUUGAGGUCUCAUAUGCUCAAGCUAGGCAUAGUGUGCUGCUGCCUGUGGAUCAAGAUUAGAACUCUCAGCUCCAGCCUGGCAGUGGUGGCGCAUGCCUUUAAUUCCAGCACUUGGAAGGCAGAGGAAGGCAGAUUCUGAGUUCAAGGCCAGCCUGGUCUACAGAGUGAGUUCCAGGACAGCCAGGGCUAUACAGGAAAACCCUAUUUUCGGA
rnacentral:lncRNA from 1 species